AAAAUAAAAAUUAAUAAAUUUAUAUUAUAAUAAAAAUAAUUUUAAUAUUAAAAUGGGGGGUUUAAGUAUUUUAAUAGAAAAAAUUAAAAAUUUUAUAAUAAAUUAGUAUAGUAAAAGAAAUUUGAAAUAAAUGAAAAUAAAAUUAUUUAAAAGUAAAUUUAAUUUAUUGUAUCUUGUGUAUCAGAGUUUAUUAAAUAAAUUAUAAAAUUUUAUAUAUCUCGAAUUUAAAAGAGUUAAUUAAUUAAUAAAUUUAAUGUAAAAUAAUUAUUUUAAAUAAUUAAUUAGAAAUGAAAUGUUAAUCGUUUUUAAAUAUAUCUAGUUAUUUUAGAAAAAAAUUUAAUUUUAAAUUUAUGAUUUAUUUAAAUUAAAUAAUAAAUUUAAAUAAUUAUAAAUUUUAUAAUUUAAGGGAUAAGCUUUAAAUUAAAAAAUUAUAAAAAUUAAUUUUAUAUUUGAAAUUUUUAAAAUUUAUAUUGUUUAAAAAUUAAAGUUUUUUAUAAAAAAUUUUAAAAUAAAUAAAAUUUAAAAUUUAAUUUAAUUUUUUAUAAAAAUAUAAUUUUUAAUUUAUAAUAAUUAGUAAUAAUGAUAAAAUUAGUAUAAAUAAUAAUUAUAUUAAAUAAAUAAAUUUAUUUAAUAAUUAAAUAAAAGGAAUUCGGCAAAAAUGUAUAUUCACCUGUUUAACAAAAACAUGUCUUUUUGAGUUAAUUUAAAGUCUAAUCUGCCCACUGAUUUUAAUAUUAAAGGGCUGCAGUAAUUUGACUGUACAAAGGUAGCAUAAUCAUUAGUCUUUUAAUUGAAGACUUGUAUGAAUGAUUUGAUGAAAUAUAAACUGUCUCUAAUUUAUAAAUAAAACUUAAUUUUUUAGUUAAAAAGCUAAAAUAUUUUUAAAAGACGAGAAGACCCUAUAGAGUUUUAUAAUUUUUAAUUUAAAAUAUUUAUAUAAAAUUUUAAUAUUAUAUAUUAAAAAUUAUUUUGUUGGGGUGAUAAAAAAAUAAAUAAAACUUUUUUUUUAUUUAACAAAAAUAAAUGAAUAAAUGAUCCAUAUUAAUGAUUAAAAGAAAAAAUUACCUUAGGGAGAACAGCGUAAUAUUUUUUUUUAGUACAAAUAAAAAAAAAAGUUUGCGACCUCGAUGUUGGAUUAAGAUAAAAUUUAAAUGCAAAAGUUUAAAAUUUUGAUCUGUUCGAUCAUUAAAAUCUUACAUGAUCUGAGUUCAAACCGGUGUAAGCCAGGUUGGUUUCUAUCUUUAAAAUAAUAAAAUAUUUUA
rnacentral:rRNA from 1 species